rnacentral:lncRNA from 10 species
UUGGUUUCUAAUUUAUCAAGUUUACCUAAUAAGCCUUACAAUGAGAUACAAAUUGUGUGUGUGUGUGUGUGCAAGCCAUUGCCAGUAAUAGAAAACAAUAAAUCUAAGAAGCCACAACUGGGCAAAUCAAAGUUUUGCACAAAUUACAGAGAAGAAUGCCAGCUCUGACAUUUCCUCAGAUUUAUGCUUUGAAUAAAGUUUAUAAAACCCAUAAAAGGAAAUAAAGAAAAAAGUGUAUGUGAAGAAACGAAACUACCUGUUCCUUUUCUUCUGGGCAUGAGGCCUUGGUUAAAAACGUUUUCAAGCCUUUAUGUUAUUUGUGUUGUAUAUUCAUAAAUUUGGAGGAUUCACAAACAUUUUUAAUACAGCCUUAAAACAGUUAAUUUUUUGUCUGUCCUGUAUCAGGUAGUUGUCGUACUCUUCAUUUUUCCAGAGGCCAAAACUAAACCCAUGGGCAUCUUUAUCUGGCUGCCUGUAGCGUGAACGCUUGUGAGCCCUCUCUCCUUUUAUAUGUCUUAUGUAUAUUGUCUAAAUGCAUUAAUUAAACCAUGUACAAGAUACACUGGUGCUCAGAGGAAAGAGGAUUAUUCUGCCUAUUAAGGUGAGACGUCACAAAGAAUGUAAAUAUAAUACAUAAUUUGAAUACUGAAAGAUUAGAAGUCUGCUAGUUCUAUAAGAGGCAGGAUGUAUUCUAAGUAUAGAGAAUAUUAUGUUUAACCAUAUGAAGAUAUAAAAUCAAUGCAUGCUAGGAGUUGUAAGUAGUUCAUUGCUAGAUAUUAUGACAGGGUAGAGAAUGGCAGAAUCUUGAAGUAGAAAUAGUGAGAACAAUUCAGCUAGGUAAAUCUCAUUUAUUUUUAUUAUGAUGGCUAACAAAAUGGAAA